rnacentral:rRNA from 1 species
CCUACGGGAGACAGCAGUGAGGAAUAUUGGUCAAUGGGCGAGAGCCUGAACCAGCCAAGUCGCGUGAAGGAUGACGGCCCUACGGGUUGUAAACUUCUUUUGUCAGGGAGCAAUUGGGUCCACGCGUGGGCUUAGCGAGAGUACCUGAAGAAAAAGCAUCGGCUAACUCCGUGCCAGCAGCCGCGGUAAUACGGAGGAUGCGAGCGUUAUCCGGAUUUAUUGGGUUUAAAGGGUGCGUAGGCGGAAUAUCAAGUCAGCGGUAAAAAUUCGGGGCUCAACCCCGUCGUGCCGUUGAAACGGAUGGUCUUGAGUGGGCGAGAAGUAUGCGGAAUGCGUGGUGUAGCGGUGAAAUGCAUAGAUAUCACGCAGAACUCCGAUUGCGAAGGCAGCAUACCGGCGCCCAACUGACGCUGAAGCACGAAAGCGUGGGUAUCGAACAGGAUUAGAUACCCCUGUAGUC